UGAUGCUGUGUUCAAACUAGACCAAAAACUAGGAAAUGACGCCCAGAGGAUUAUGUGGAUCUUGACAUCUAAACAGCUGAUCCUCGCUAAGACCUCUGCAGGGGAGAGCAGUCCAGACCGGAUCAGUAACAGCACACAGUACAAGGGGAGGCUGUCUCUGCUUCCUGAUAAAUCUCUGAUGUUAAGCAAUCUGACAACUGAAGACAGUGGAUGUUAUGAAGCUGAAGUAAAAUCAUCCUUGGGAGGGAUAACUACUCAGAAGUUCAAUUUAACUGUUCUUGGUAAAUGAGCCACUGGGCCCUAUUUGGACCCCUCCCUGCUGUCACCCGCUUGUACACUUUUUAAAGCUUUGUUUCACUCUCCCACCUUCAGAUCUUUGCACAAUCUGUCUUGCCUGACAACUUUGCCCCUUAGAGAGGGAAAGAAGGGUGGAGCUGCUCUUUCUUUAAGUAACAAGAAAGUUGAAGACCGAAAUCUGAAGCCAGAAGGACUGUCACAAGUCACACACUCGUUACACAGCCCAGUGAAUGAAAAGGACUGACUGAAUUACAGACUGAGCUGCCUUGGAGACAUGUGAAAGUUACUGAGCCAGUCAGUCACUCAGUCCUUCCUCACUCUCUCCCUGGGAGUUCUCUGGACUGGAGAGCAAUCCCUAACGGCUAAAGGUGACCCUGAAACAGUGAGGGAGGAACAGUGCCCCUUUCUGCUGGGUGUGUCCUUAAUGAAGGGAGAGAGAAGAGAGGUGGGGAAGAGGGGAUGUACUAGAGGAAGAUGAUUGAUGCCCACUGGGGUUUCUGGUAGAAAUGAAAGAGAAUGGAAAGAACUGGGCAGGGACUGGCACUCUGGAGGACAGACACUGACUACAGUCAUACUUUAUAGCUUCUGUGAUCACUUCUGUAUGUCUGCCUUCUGUUUAAACUAUCCAGGCCCUUUUCUCUCUUUAUUACUCUUCUUUCCUGAAGAUCCUUCUUUACCGAAAUACCAAAAAAAAAAAAAAAAAAACCUCUACAAAGAAUAGAAUCUCUACUAAUUCUUUUUCCAUUUUCUUCUUUGCAUUCCUUGCUUCUUUCACAUACUCCCUUUUUGCAGCCCUCUAUCCCACUUCUUUGUAACAGACUUAUGGCUAAUGAUCCUGAUUUUCUGUUUUAGAGUCUGAGAGUACAGAGCCUACCAUGCAUUAUUUAUGGUUUAUAGUCUUCAUCGUCUUCGUAUUUGUUGUAAUACCAUGUGUUAUCUGCCGAAAACCACAAGGUAUUCAAAGAAGAGGCGAAUUAUAUACAGAGGAGAAUGGACAUUCCCAGAUGGCUUCUCCUCAGACCAAUGAAGAGAGUCUGAGGAUGCUUGAUAGAACAUUGCCAGUCACAACCAUACCAAAGGAUAUAGCAGGAAUGCAGAACGGACUUGGCACACAACAGGAAAACAGCAGAGAUCAGCACAGACAGGAGCUGGGUGUUGAAGAAGGAAACAGCACAGAAUCUAUGGACCAAAGGAGAACAGCACAGAUAGAAGCAGUCUAACAACAUCGAUCAAAGAUGUGGGAUCUUGUAAAAUACGUUUCGAUAUUGAUUGUUUGGUGAAAGAAAUCUUGAAUGAAAUUUAGGACCAAACAAGAAAUAGACAAUGUUGGGAAAUAAAAAAUGGAUAGUUUUUUUUUAAUAUGUAUAUAGCUUUUUAUUGACAGAAUAUAUGCAUGGGUAGUUUUUCAACAUU